rnacentral:rRNA from 1 species
CCAAGGAGUUCAACAUAUGCGCAGGUCGUUGAGUGUCUGGUAUACUCGAAGGCCUAGUGAAAGCAAGCUACAUCAUUCGGUGGUGUAAUAGCGGCGAGAUCCUGGUGUCUUGUACAUUAGGCGCAUCGCCGACCCGUUUAUUGGCCACGCGCCAUGGACGGAGUUAGAGCGCAUACGCUGAGACCCGAAAGAUGGUGAACUAUGCCUGGGCAGGAUGAAGCCAGAGGAAACUCUGGUGAAAGUCCGUAGCGAUUCUGACGUGCAAAUCGAUCGUCUGACCUGGGUAUAGGGGCGAAAGACUAAUCGAACCAUC